rnacentral:tRNA from 1 species
AUUUAUAUAGUUUAAUAAAACGGUAUAUUUUCAUUAUACAGAUAAUAUUUGUGAUAUUUAUAAAUA